GGUGGCUAAGUCAGUGGACACAGAGUUCACCUCCCCACACAAAAACAUCAAAAAUACAUCUACACAUGGAGCAAUUGUCACUGAAAAACCAGGAAGUAGCAAGACCAACACUAGCAACUGUUGACCUCACUUGCAGUCCAACAUGCUUCCUAAGUGCUCUGCUGCCUCUGAAAAAAUAAUAAAUUCAGCCCAACGCUCAACUGAACAUCUGAAAACUCACAUCGACAUUGGCAAAACUCUUUUGACAACGAGAGCUAUUGAAACCACUCUUGGAUGGUGAACACCACAGAGGAAUGAGACAGGGACAUAAAUGAGGAGGAAAAUUACAGCUUAAAUUUAAGAUUAAACUUGAAAACUUAGUGUUCUCUCUCUGUCCUCUUUCCAAUUCCCUGAUGCCCUACUUCAAAAAGUCAGUCUUAUUGUUGAAUAUGGAUCUUCAGCACUUAUUUAGCAAGCCUCUGCCAUUACAUUCAUUUUUCUUUCUCCAGAGAAAAACCACCCCACUCUGGAAGUUAGGAUUUUACAUUGAGAACAGAGAAUACUGGGGCUCAAAGGAGAGGCAAAUGAGGACAACUCCAAGAUUUUUUGUUCUUUCUUUUUUUUAAGAGCUUUUCUCUACCUAAGGUG